rnacentral:misc_RNA from 1 species
CCCGAGUUAGGGAUUGCACUGAAAAGCCCACAUCGGAGGAACGUAGCGAGGACUUGUAAGGAAAAGCCCGACCGCCU